CUGCUUACAACCUGUUUGCCUGCCUAUAAUUGAAGUAAGGAAAAGGAAUAGAAAUUAUGAAACCUGAAAUGUACUAUCAAGAAUGAUUUGACGCCCAAAUAAAAAAAAAAAUGGACAAAUGAUAUACAUUACCAGGGCAAAAUGUUCAGUAGUGACACCCAGGCAUUCAAUAAUUGGGAAGCUUGUAUGAUCCUUCUCCAAUCAACAUUAUCACCAACAUUGGACAAAGUCACAACCAAGCACUCAUAUGGGACGUUUCAAUAUAAAAAAAUGCUCGUCUUUCAAAAGACUAUGGUCUACUCGCAAUCAAUAAUUUAAUACUACCUAUCACAAAAUUAGACUUUCUAAGCCAAUUUAUAGGCGGCAAGAAUGUACAAGGAAAGAUUUCUGGAAGCACAUGAUUGUUUUCAAGCAAAUAAAAUUUAUUAGAACUGCAAGAAAGUCUACUUUUGCGAAAAACUUACCUUUUUUUUAUUAACAAGUGCUA